rnacentral:rRNA from 1 species
UACGGAGGAUGCGAGCGUUAUCCGGAUUUAUUGGGUUUAAAGGGUGCGCAGGCGGAAGAUCAAGUCAGCUGUGAAAGUCCGCGGCUCAACCGUGGAAUUGCAGUUGAAACUGGAGGCCUUGAGUGCACACAGGGGUGCCGGAAUUCAUGGUGUAGCGGUGAAAUGCUUAGAUAUCAUGAAGAACUCCGAUCGCGAAGGCAAGUGUCCGGGGUGCAACUGACGCUGAGGCUCGAAAGUGCGGGUAUCAAACAGG